rnacentral:rRNA from 1 species
GAUGAACGCUGGCGGCGUGCCUAAUACAUGCAAGUCGAGCGAACAGACGAUGAGCUUUCUCCUCGGACGGUAGCGGCGGGCGGGUGAGUAACACGUGGAUAACCUCCCUAUAAGACUGGGAUAACUUCGGGAAUCCGGAGCGAAUACCGGAUAAUAUAUUGAACCGCAUGGUUCAAUGGUGAAAUACGGGUUGGCUGUCACUUAUAGAUGGAUCCGCGCCGCAUUAGCUAGUUGUUAAGGUAACGGCCUACCAAGGCAACGAUGCGUAGCCGACCUGAGAGGGUGAUAGCCCACACGGGAAGUGAGCCGCCGUCCAGACUCCUACGGGACGCCGCAGUAGGCUAUCUGCCGCAAUGGGCGAGAGCCUGACGGAGCGACGCCGAGUGAGAGACGGCGGCCUCGGGAUCGGAAUGACCUCUUUCUAGUGAAGAACAAAUGUCUAAGUAAACAUAGACGUCUUGACGGUACCUACUCAGAAAGCACCGGCUAACUACGUG